rnacentral:rRNA from 1 species
UACGAAGGGGGCUAGCGUUGUUCGGAUUUACUGGGCGUAAAGCGCACGUAGGCGGAUCUUUAAGUCAGAGGUGAAAUCCCAAGGCUCAACCUUGGAACUGCCUUUGAUACUGGGGAUCUCGAGUUCGGGAGAGGUGAGUGGAACUGCGAGUGUAGAGGUGAAAUUCGUAGAUAUUCGCAAGAACACCAGUGGCGAAGGCGGCUCACUGGCCCGGUACUGACGCUGAGGUGCGAAAGCGUGGGGAGCAAACAGG